rnacentral:rRNA from 1 species
UACGAAGGGGCUAGCGUUGCUCGGAAUCACUGGGCGUAAAGGGUGCGUAGGCGGGUCUUUAAGUCAGGGUGAAAUCCUGGAGCUCAACUCCAGAACUGCCUUUGAUACUGAAGAUCUUGAGUUCGGAGAGGUGAGUGGAACUGCGAGUGUAGAGGUGAAAUCGUAGAUAUUCGCAAGAACACCAGUGGCGAAGGCGGCUCACUGGCCCGAGUACUGACGCUGAGGCACGAAGCGUGGGAGCAACAGG